rnacentral:rRNA from 1 species
AUUGAACGCUGGCGGCAUGCCUUACACAUGCAAGUCGAAUGGCAGCGCGGACUUCGGUCUGGCGGCGAGUGGCGAACGGGUGAGUAAUGCAUCGGAACGUACCUUUCAGUGGGGGAUAACGUAGCGAAAGUUACGCUAAUACCGCAUAUUCUGUGAGCAGGAAAGCAGGGGAUCGCAAGACCUUCCGCUGAUUGAGCGGCCGAUGUCAGAUUAGCUAGUUGGUGAGGUAAAGGCUCACCAAGGAGACGAUCUGUAGCGGGUCUGAGAGGAUGAUCCGACACACUGGGACUGAGACACGGCCCAGAGUCCUGCGGGAGGCAGCAGUGGGGAAUAGUGGACAAUGGGGGCAACCCGGAUACAGCAAUGCCGCGUGAGUGAAGAAGGCGUUCGGGUUGUAAAGCUCUUUCGGCCGGGAAGAAAACGCACGGGCUAAUACCCUGUGUGGAUGACGGUACCGGAAUAAGAAGCACCGGCUAACUACGUGCCAGCCGCCGCGGUAAGAC